AUGGGUGAUGCUGCUGACCUAAAGGCCACUGAUGGCGUUCAGAAAGAAGAGAAAGGAGGCAGUGAAUUCACGCCAGAGCAUCAGGGUGAAGACGAUGAGUGUGAUCUAGUUCCUGAGGAGGAUCAUAAAACUCAGGAGCUCCCGCAGGAGAGGGUGAAAGAGACCGGAGGAAGACGGACCCCAUGGCCCACCUGCGCCAUAAGUGGACGUCCUCACACACCCAGGACACCACAAGGCCCUCCAGGCCAAACAUGGCGGCCACCACGGCCAAAACGCCCACGCGGGCCUGGUCACGUGGGCCUGACCCAGGUCUCUGAGGCAGCGUGGCUCACUCUGAUUGGUGGAGGUGCCGUAGUGCGCAGCGCGAAGAGGCGGAGCCAGCACCCAUCACAGGUGGAGAUACAGGAGAGAAUCACUGCCCGAGGCCACAUACCAGACAACGAGGGUCAGGAAGGAGGAUUCAAUGAAGGACGGGCGGGACCUCCUUUGGCCCAACAGCCUCUGGGUUUACAAGCUGCGCCCAUCCCGCUGGGGCUCAGCUGCGCGCCGCAGCCUCGCUCCCUCCCGCCGAUCGGCUGUGGCGGGGCUGCCCAUGGGAUAAAACUGAUACAACUGUCAAAUUACAAGCUUUGUGAUUGAUAUGGACACUGUCUGAAAUUCUAUAUUCUACAGCAGCAAGGAUUCUUCAGCUUCAUAGGAAAGGAUCCAUUAUAAUUUUCUUUGAGUGUUGUCAUGGAGAUGUUUCAAGGUAUGUAUACAUUUAUUUGGAGAUAUUUUGCUUUUUUUUCUCCCUGAAUUAUUAUAAUUACUUGAAAAAUAUAUAAUGCACAUAUGAAUAUGUAUUUAUGUAAAGUUUGCUUAAAUCAAGUAUUUAUUAAGUGUAGCUUUGUUUCAAUUAGUCCUACUAUGUGUUUAGUUAUGGAGACUCAUCUUUCUUGAGGGAUGAUAUACUGAGCUGGUUAAGUGCAUAAAAUGCAGAGUCGGACAGACUUUGAUUCCUGACUCUGUCACAUAACAACUGUGAUUUGAGACAGCUGAUUUGAGGCAAUUGCUUUGAUUUCCUUUUAUUAAAUGGCAACAGUGAUCCUAGCCCUCAACCCCAGGGUUGCUGUGAGAAUUCACUAAACUAAAACUAAUACAUUUAGAGCACUGUGACCAAGACAGGCAGAGUAUAAACCAUAAGUAGGAAGUAAGUUUUAUCUUCACUUUUUCACAUCAUGAACACUUUUUAAAAUUCUUUGCAAUAUUAUUUAAUUCCUCUUUAUUCUUCUUGAUCUGCUCUUGAUGUGUCUUAAUUAUCUUCUCAAGCUUAUAAUUUUUCCUCUGAUUUGAAUUAUUGCAAUAUCCAAACUUCUGUUCAGCAAUUUCUGUGAAGUUCUUAGUUUGGCAAUUGUGAUUUUCAUUCUCAUGCUCUUUUCACAUUUCAGAUUUCUUUCUUCCUGAGAGCUUGCUUGCAUUUAAAAGUAGAAAUGUCCUUUAAAGUCUUCCUCAUUACAUGAAUUUUAAAUUUUCUUCCAUUAAAAAUGUUUGCAAUAAAUAUUUUAAGAUAUAACAUUAGAAACUAAAUAAGAAUGACUCACAGAUGCCAGAAAUGUCAAUCCUUUUCAAUUAAGAUAUAUGCAAAUGGGACUUAAUUAAAGGAUAAGCUGUCAUAUAAUGUAAACAGGGAAAAAAAAUACAAGCUUGCUUGGGAAAUAAUUACAGGUGAUCUCAGAGCUCCACUAAAACUUGGAAGAGUCAGUGGUUGAAAUGCUAGUGGAAUAUGAAACAGUUGGUGGAUAUCCUCCACACAGUUCCAGUUUUAGUGGUAUACUUUCGGAUGUCAGAGCUCAUUUUUAUUUCUUUUUUUCUCCUUUUUUUCUUUUUGAAAAUUAUAUUAACCUGCCCCUUGACUGACUCAUAGCACAUUUUUUAGUGCAACUCUUAUCUUUUCAAAUUAAGGAGUGUUAGUAGAAUUUAAGCAGAUUUUCUUCUCCUAAAUUCUUGAUAGAAAUGGAUUUAUAAAGUUGGUUCUUGCUGACCAGUUUCCACCUGACCCAUCUGUGUUAUAUCAGAUACUAUUGAGAAGUUAUGGAAUGUGGUUGGCACCACUCGUAGUUUCUCUUUGACUUUAACUUUUGAUUGGUUAGCUCAAUAUAGAAAUGAGUAUAAAGGUAUUAGAUGCUUCAAUUAAUGUCAUUAUCUUUCUUUGAAAUUUAUCCAGUUUUUUCAGUCUUCCACAGACAUUUCUAUUUGUAUUUUAGUCUGUUUUCUAAGCAAUUUAUCUUGUCAUCUUGUUUUAUAAUAUCAUGCCUUCUUGAAUUUUAUUUAGAAUGCAAAUCAAAAAUUUCCUAAAAUGAACUUCUUACUCCUGAGGUAAUCUUUUUUCCCCUUAAUUGUGCAAUGAAUGGUUUAAGUCUCUUAUAAUAGAAAAUAUUUUCAUAGGCCCAUUAUUUUUUAUUAUUGUAAAUAUUUCUGUAUUUACACAUGGAUCGCAUAAUGAUUGGAUGCCCACACCUCAUUUAUGUCCAUAAGCAGAGUAGACAAUGUUUUUCUGGUUAUCCUCACUACAUACCUUUUUGUUAUUAGAACUUUCCAUUUUUAAGCAAUGUGUGGUUGGGAGGGUGGUAACUUUGGACAUCUCCAAUUACAACACAAGUGUUUGAUAUCCUUUACCUAGUCUUGUCUUAUUGAGAUAGUAAAGGAUAUUCUUAUUCAGCUGCAUAGUUGUCUAAUUAUGUAUGCAGAAAUGUAUACAUUUCUGCGUUACUUCAAGAGUUCUAUGGGAGGAAUUUUUUAAACCAGGUUGUCAAAUAGAAAUAUAAUGCAUGCUACAAGUGUGAGCCACAUAUGUAAUUGAGAUUUUUUUCUAGUAACUACAUUAAAAUUAAAAAUAGUUAAUAUUAAUAUUCUAUUUUAUCCAAUAUAUCCAAAAUAUGUAAUCAAUAUAAAACAUAUUUAUGUGACACUGUACAUUUUUUAUAGUAUGAACUCUUUAUAACUUAGUGUAUAUUUUACACAGAAUACAUCUCAAUUAGAACUAGCUACAUUUCCAGUGCUUAAUUUCCACUUAUGGCAGUGGCUACUGUAUUGGACAGUGAAGUUUUAACCCCUUAUUAGGAAGAAUAGAUAAAAAAUAGAAACAAAGACACACUCCUCCCCUCCAUCAGAGAUGUUUCUAUUGCUUUUAUGAAGUAAUCUAUCAUUGCUUUCCCUCAUAUAUUUUCAUUGUGUAUUAACUGGGUGUCAUGGUCCCCAAAUCCAUGUCCAGUCUUUUUUCACUAGAGAUGUAGGUUGUAAGGUAAGGAAAUAAUCUUCAAACAAAACAAAACAAAGCAGAAUAAAGCAAACAGAAAUCACCUUUCAGUCAAGGAUGUAUGACUCUGUCCCUCUGAUAAGUGUCUGUCUGAGAAGAGUGGUAGAAUAGGU
rnacentral:lncRNA from 1 species